rnacentral:lncRNA from 1 species
ACUGGGCAGAAAUGCCCAAUCGGAGAAGAAGAAGGUGAGAGCAAACCAGAAGAAGGGAGAGGAAGAAGCUGACCAAUCAGGGGAAGGAAAGGAGGGAAAGGAGGAGAGUGGUGCGCGGGGGAACAGGAAGAAUGGGUCACCCUUGACCCGCGCGACCCAAGCUUCCAAAUCGGCGGUUUUCGCCAUUUCCGUCCAAAUUUCCGACGAAAUUGAGUCAAGGUACCACUACUAAUCAUCUCUAGCUUCCCUCUUUACGUUUCACCCCAAGAAUCAUUGAAUUUCGUUGUGAUUUCGCGAAGAAACCCCUACGGGUGCCGCGACCCUUUUGUUUAAUUCUCCAAAUUUUGAAAUGUUUUCUUUCAAUUACUAACACCUUUAGCAUUCUUUAGGACCUAGAACAAAGCCCAAGAGGUAAUUGAGGCGUUGGAACAAGUUUGAAGGUCGAAAUGGAAACACCCAAAUUCUAGGGUUCUCACGGUUUGGUGAAAUUGAAGCACUUCCAGGCCAAAUUGGCCUUGGCCUCAGGUAUGAAAGUUGUUCUACUCAUUGAGAUCUUCAAAUCUGCAAAUUUUGGUAAUUUUUGGAAAUAGUUGAAUUUUCCGGCGAGCCGGGGGCGGCCAACCGCCACCCGCGGCGGCCCGCGCGGCGGCGCGUGGCCAAUGGCCCGCCAAUGUCAUUAUUAGCUUGUUGAUUAAGGUUCUAGGUUCUGUUUUUUAUAAUUGUUGGACGUAAAUUGAAUAAUUGAACCUAAGUUGGUUACGAUUCGUGGUUAGGUGAAAAUGUGAAUUGACGAUCCGACCGUUGGAUCGUCAAUCAAACUUUGAUACGUUGUAAUACGUAAUAUUUGAGGAUUAUAGGAACUUACGGAUUGGGAAUCCGAUUUACGGAUCUUCUGGAAUUGAAGUUGUAAGUUCAUAAAUAGAAUGUUAACCGUCACUUAGUUUUGGAAAUUGUCGGAGAUCCGACCGUUGGAUGGUAAUGAAAUUUUAGGAAGUUGUCCUAGAGGUAUAUUGUGGACCUCUGGAAGUUUCGGAUUUGAAAUCUGAAUUGCAGAUCAUCCGGAUCGAACUACGUAGUGACGUGUCUUACAUAAGUUAUGUAUUCUAUCGGCAGAAUUUUGAGGUUGGAUUUGAUUGUUGUUCUAGGCGCUAAUCGUCAUGACGCCUUGAUGUACGGUGCUAGGGAGUUGUGGGCGAACUCCAGGUGAGUGGGCAGUUUUGUUUUCGUAUUACCUAUAUACUAUUGAUUUUUCCCAGAAAAUGAAUUUAUAUGAAAAUAUGCUUUAAAAUGCAUGCAUAGAAUUAUUUGAAAAUGUGAAUUGUUAUAUGAAUUACAUGAUUGAGAUAUGAUGCAUACAUGUUGCAUGGUGCUGUGGAGGCACAGGUAAGUCAGGUGAGUUCAUUAUUCAUUUAAUUGAAUUGAUUGAUAUCGAUAUAAUUUGAGCUCAUAACCUGCACCCUAGGUGUUAGUGCUUAUAUUAUUCACCACACCGCACGCUCGCCUUGGAUCCAAGUAGGUGGAUGUCGUACAGACCAUGUGGGGUUCCGACAUGCUAGUCGUUAUAGAUCACUAGGCGUGAUUCCGACUAGUGGGUGAUCUUAGUUAUGCGCGCUGAUGAUAUGAUGAGAGAAGCACUAGAGCGUAUUUUUACACCUUUCAUCGUAUAGACUACCUUACGUAGUUCCGAGUGAUGUGCAGAGUAGGGCCGUAUAGGUCACUGUGGUGACUCCGGCUUAGUGAGAUAUUGAGCUAUUGAAUUAAUCGUAUAGGACCAACUGCAGGGUCUCCGAUUGAUUCCUUAUUUCACCUGAUUUAUAUUUUGAUUUAUGGCAUGGCAUGUUUUUCUUGAAAAGCGUUAAAGAUUUGAGAUUUGAAUUUUGAGAUUAUAUAUGGUUUUAUAUAUACUAUUUUCUGGGAAAGUAUACAGGUUUUACGGUGAGGGGAUAGAAAUAUUUUAAAUGAAAAAUUUUCGAAAAACUUUGUUUUACUGACCCACUCAAUUUUGUUUUGCGCCCCUCCAGGUUCAGGUUAGCAGAACUUUGGUGGCCACGAGGAAUCCAACGGUGUUCUGACAGAAUUCACAAAAGUAGGACUCACCCUCGGGUGUGUUAUCUUAGUAAUUGGAAAUUUUUUUUAAAGCUUCCGAACUGUGUAAAUGGUUACGUCACUCUCACGUGACGGCCAGCACGCCCUCUUUCGGGACGGGGUGUGUCAGUUGGUAUCAGAGCCUAGGUUGCAAUUCUGGACAUCUGGAGAAUUUCCCAGUGUCUUCUGUCAGAACUAUACAGCCUCGUAGCGAGCCACGUAGUUCGGAUAAGCCUAAUUUCCCUGAUAUAGUAGUUUGGGGGGAAACUAUUGCCAUUGUGAUUCAGUCUAUUAUCUAAAGGAACCUUUGAGACUGGUUAUAAGUUAAAUUUGAAUACAGACUUGCCUUGUUUCCAUUCGGAUGUUGUUGCUAAUCCGGUAGAGAUGUUAUGUCGUUUUUGGCUGGAUAAUAAGAAGAAGUGGCGUUCUUUGGCGACCACUAUCCAUUCUACUUUUUACCAAGAGUUUACGAGAUGUUAUUGGGUUUUGAAGACUUUGAGAAUAUGAUCAGCGAGAGUAAAAAGGAAUAAGAAAGGAAUGAGAAUCAGAAUAAGACGAUAAAGUUAAAGAUUCGUCAUAUCAAAGACCUCGGAGGACUCAGAGCUUCAAAAGAAGUGAAGUUAGAACUAAUUCUUCCAGCUGAGGUUUUAGUGCCACUGGUUCGAGGCGAAGUGAUAAAUUACGGGUGAUCCCAGAUCUUAAAGACAAGGUGACUCGAGUAAGGGAAAUGUACCUUUGUGCCAUAGGUAUAAUAUUAGACACUUUGGAUAGUGUGGGAAUCAGUGAAUGUGUGCAUGUGGACGGAUGGGACAUAGAGGUAUGAAUUGUCCCUGGAAUCAGUUGUUACCCAACAGUCUUCCUUAACAUAUCACUUGGAAAAAUUGAUGAGUAAGUCGUACAGGUCACUAUAUGUGACUCCGACUUAUGUGCUAGCAUGGAUGGUCGAGUUGUAGACUCAGUCGUACAAGUCAUUCUAGCUGACUCCGGCUGAUAUAUUUCUUAUUAUGGUCGAUGUUGCCAAAGAAAGUAAUGUUGGAGCACGAUCGAGGCGUAUUUAUGUAUUUCUAAGGAAGAACAAGAUGAUAAUAUUACACCCCUCAGGAAUUGUUACUUACUUAUCGAGACAACAGUGAGUUAUUUGUAUUGCGAGCUGCAGACCGUAAUAUUUAUAACUUAUUUGUUGGAUUCGUUAAGUAAGUAAACAAGUAAGGCACUUUAUGUUGAUUUGGUUUAUUAAGGGUGUCCGGUGAUGGUGAAAAAUGUCAUGUCGGUGAAUUUUAUUCCGUUGGAUAUUGUGGAUUUUGAGGUGAUUUUUGGCACAAAGUGGGUGCAGAAUAAAUGUGCCAAGCUAGAUUGCUAUGGGGAAUCAGUUAAUUUUUGUCGACCUGGAUGACCAGAGGUUACUUUUGGGGGUAAGUAAAGUGGAGUGAGUUAUGCCAUUAUUCCUGUUGAGAGAGCAAAGAAGAUUGUUAUCAAAAGGCUGCCAAGAUAUUGAGUUCAUAUGGUGCUAAAUGAUGUUGAUCCUAAUAGUAUGGAAGAUGUAAAGAUGGUUAGACAUUUUCUUGGUGUAUUCCCAGAUGACUUACCUAGAUUGCCGCCAGGCAGAGAUGUGGGUUUUAUUAUUGAAUUGUUUUUAGGUACAAAUCCUAUGUUAGAGAUUGGUUCAGGUUGAGUUAAAAGUUCCAUUCAACUUAUUAUAUCACAUUGGAAAAGCUCCGGUUUAUUUGUGAGAAAGAAAAUGGACAUUAAGGCUAGGCAUUGAUAUUAGGUAAUUGAAUCGGGUAACGAUUGAGAGCUGUUAUCCAUUGUUAUGUAUUGAUGAUUAUUUGAUCAGCUCUGAGGCGCCUGGGUACUUUCUGAGAUUGACUAGAGGUCUGAAUGAUAUUAGUUGAAGAUUAACAGUGAGGAUGUUCAUAAGACUGAAUCCAGGACUCGUUAUGGUCAUUUCAAGUUGGGAUGCCAUACGGAGUGACGAAUGCACCUGCUACUUUUAUGAGUUUGUUGAAGGAAGUAUUCCAAUGAUAUCUGGACCGGGUUGUUAUUGUUUGCCAUUGACGAGAUUGAUAAGAUUAGAGCAGUGCAUGCUAGAUAUUUAAAGUUGGUGUUGCAAAGAUUGAGGGAACGUUGAUGUAUGCUAAGUUUAACAAAUGCUAAUGUUGGAUAAAUUAAUUAUAUCUACUUAAGGUAUUCAAGUGGAUUCUUAAAAGAGUAGCAACGAUUAAGAAUUUGGAACAAUUGCGAACCGUGACUGAGGUUCAGAGUUUUCUCGGAUUAGCAGGAUAUCAUCGAUAGUUCGUCCAAGAUUUUAAUCACUGCUUGGCUUUGGCGAGAUUGAUGAGAAAAGAGGUUAGGUUUGAGUGGAUGAAAUUGUGAGCAAGGUUUCAGCGGCUGAAGUAUUAUCUCACUCACACGCCUGUUUUAACGCUUCCAGAUUUUAAUGGUAAUUAUGUGGUCUAUAGUGAUACUUUUUUUUAAUGUUCUUGGAUGCGUGUUGAUGCAACAUGGUAGGAUGAUUGUCUAUGCUUCAUGGCCAUUGGGAUCUCAUAAGAUGAAUUACCCUAAUUAUAAUUUGGAAUUGGCGGCUAUCAUUCUUACUUUGAAGUUAUGGAGACAUUAUAUUAUUGGUGAGAAAUGCAAGAUUUUAAUGAAUCAUAAGAGUCUCCAAUAUAUGUGUACGCGGAGAGAUAUUAAUCUUAGGCAACAAAGGUGGAUUGAGUUGCUUAGUGAUUAUGAUCGUGUGACGAGGGUGGUCAAGCUAAUGUUGUGGCUGAUGCAUUUAAUAGGAAGACCCCAGUGAGAAUUAAUGCUUGGUACGCUUGCUAUGUUCAUCUUCUUGUGGAUUUGAAAUCUACUGGAGUAAAGUUGAGUAUCAAAAAUCGAGAAGAAGGCUUACUUGCUAAUUUCCAAGUUGGACCCAUUUGGUAGAUCGUACUCGAUACUCAAGCGUUUGACGAAGAAAUUCAAGAAUUUAUUUAAAGCAAGGAAUAUCGGGAAAAAGAAAGACCUUAGAGUUAGAGAAUCAGAUGGCAAGCUUGUACAAGGGAACAAAGUGUUUAUGCCUAAUGGUGUGGAAUUAAAGAAAGCAAUUUUGACGAUGUACAUUAUUCCACUUCUACAAUGCAUCCCAAAAGUACUAAGAUUUAUCAUACCAUUCGUUCAUGUACUAUUGACGGGUAUGAAAAGAGAAAUGGCGAAGUAUGUUAGUAGGCGUAUUAUCAGUCAUCAGGUUAACGCAGAAAGAAAUAAGUCUUUUGGAAUAAUGUGGUCAUUUCCCAUUCCACGGCGGAAAUGGGAGAAUAUUACUAUGGAUUUCGUGGACAAGCUUCCUCGUAUACAAAAUAGUUAGGUUGGAAUUUGAAUAAUAAUUGAUCGACUGGUGACGUCAGCGUAUGUUACCUCAGUAUGAGAACACCAACCUUUCCAGACAAGCGCAACAUUUAUUUGUUUGUUUUAUGGAAAAAGAGAUUUGGGAUCUGUUAAACUUCUUGGGUAUGUUGGUCCCUUCAGUUUGUUCCCUUGAGUAACGCCAUAAGGCCGUGUAAAGCUAUGUCUUGUGUUUCGAAAUUUUUAGAAUUGGGGACGGAUAGUAUUCAAGGCCCUGAGUUAGUGGAUGAGACUAUUCGGAAUAUUCAAGUAAUUAAGUCUAACCUGGAAGUGGGCCAGGAUCGGCUGAAGAGCUUAGCAGACAAACAUGCCACUGACCGGAUGUAUAUGUAGGUGAUCGAAUGAUUUUGAAAUUAUCACCUUGGAAAAGUAUGAUUCGUUUUAAAAAGAAAAACAAGUAAGUCCUAGAUACGUCAGACCAUCUAUGAUCAUCGAACGAGUCAGUGAAGUUACGUACAGGCUGAGUUGCCUCCAGAGCCGAUGAAAGGGCAUGAUAUGUUUUAUGUUUCGAUACUUCGACAUUAAACCUCAUAUCCUUCACGAGUGAUACCUUCGCAACCUUUGGAAGUCAAUAUGGAUUUGACGUAUGAUGAGGAGCCAGUGCCUAUCUUGUAUUAGAAAGAUGAUGUACUGAGAAAUAAGACUAUGAGUUUGGUGAAAGUUUAUGGAGGAAUCUUUCAGUGGAAGAAGCUACUUAGAAAUCAAAGAAUCGAAUGAGAGAGAUGUGUUUCGGGCUGUUUCAUGGAUAUUGAUGGAUUGUAAAGAUUGUGUAAAUUUCGAGGACGAAAUUUCUGUAAGGUGGGUAGAUUGUGACAGCCCGUCCCUAAUUUUAAGAAUUUUUAAAGUUUUAAUAAAGGAUUUUACAAAAAUGCCCUUCGAGACACGCACAUCAUUCGAGGUUAAUCGUUGUGUCGUGCCAUCUAAGAUUUGUUUUCUUGACAUAUCCUCGUAGUACUCGUCGUUACGGACGUGUGGGCGCAGACGGUUCGUGAUUUGGAGUUAUAUCGAAGAAGUUAUUAACGUUUGAAAUUUGGAAUUUUAAGGAAUUAUAAUUUUAGUAAAAUAUAGAAAUUCUUUUAUGAAAUUGGACGGCCCAGAUUUAUUGAUGAAUGAAAUGGAUGGCUGGGAUGAGAGAAAGGUUUUUGGUGUGUGUAUGUGUAUGAGAAGAAGAAACAGAAAACAGAAAAGAAGAAGAGACUGGGCAGAAAUGCCCAAUCGAGAAGAAGAAGGUGAGAGCAAACCAGAAGAAGGGAGAGGAAGAAGCUGACCAAUCAGGGGAAGGAAAGGAGGGAAAGGAGGGAGAGUGGUGCGCGGGGGAACAGGAAGAAUGGGUCACCCUUGACCCGCGCGACCCAAGCUUCCAAAUCGGCGGGUUUUCGCCAUUUCCGUCCAAAUUUCCGACGAAUUGAGUCAAGGUACCACUACUAAUCAUCAUCUAGGCCUUCCCUCUUUACGUUUCACCCCAAGAAUCAUUGAAUUUCGUUGUGAUUUCGCGAAGAACACCCCUACGGGUGCCGCGACCCUUUUGUUUAAAUUCUCCAAAUUUUGAAAUGUUUUCUUUCAAUUACUAACACCUUUAGCAUUCCUUUAGGACCUAGAACAAAGCCCAAGAGGUAAUUGAGGCGUUGGAACAAGUUUGAAGGUCGAAAUGGAAACACCCAAAUUCUAGGGUUCUUCACGGUUUUGGUGAAAUUGAAGCACUUCCAGGCCAAAUUGGCCUUGGCCUCAGGUAUGAAAGUUGUUCUACUCAUUGAGAUCUUCAAAUCUGAAAAUUUUGGUAAUUUUUGGAAAUAGUUGAAUUUUCCGGCGAGCCGGGGGCGGCCAACCGCCACCCGCGGCGGCCCGCGCGGCGGCGCGUGGCCAAUGGCCCGCCAAUGUCAUUAUUAGCUUGUGAUUAAGGUUCUAGGUUCUGUUUUGAUAAUUGUUGGACGUAAAUUGAAUAAUUGAACCUAAGUUGGUUACGAUUCGUGGUUAGGUGAAAAUGUGAAUUGACGAUCCGACCGUUGGAUCGUCAUCAAACUUUGAUACGUUGUAAUACGUAAUAUUUGAGGAUUAUAGGAACUUACGGAUUGGGAAUCCGAUUUACGGAUCUUCUGGAAUUGAAGUUGUAAGUUCAUAAAAUAGAAUGUUAACCGUCACUUAGUUUUGGAAAUUGUCGGAGAUCCGACCGUUGGAUGGUAAUGAAAUUUUAGGAAGUUGUCCUAGAGGUAUAUUGUGGACCUCUGGAAGUUUUGGAUUUGAAAUCUGAAUUGCAGAUCAUCCGGAUCGAACUACGUAGUGACGUGUCUUACAUAAGUUAUGUAUUCUAUCGGCAGAAUUUCUGAGGUUGGAUUUGAUUGUUGUUCUAGGCGCUAAUCGUCAUGACGCCUUGAUGUACGGUGCUAGGGAGUUGUGGGCGAACUCCAGGUGAGUGGGCAGUUUUGUUUUCGUAUUACCUAUAUACUAUUGAUUUUUCCCAGAAAAUGAAUUUAUAUGAAAAUAUGCUUUAAAAAUGCCAUGCAUAGAAUUAUUUGAAAAUGUGAAUUGUUAUAUGAAUUACAUGAUUGAGAUAUGAUGCAUACAUGUUGCAUGGUGCUGUGGAGGCACAGGUAAGUCAGGUGAGUUCAUUAUUCAUUUAAUUGAAUUGAUUGAUAUCGAUAUAAUUUGAGCUCAUAACCUGCACCCUAGGUGUUAGUGCUUAUAUUAUUCACCACACCGCACGCUCGCCUUGGAUCCAAGUAGGUGGAUGUCGUACAGACCAUGUGAGGGUUCCGACAUGCUAGUCGUAUAGAUCACUAGGCGUGAUUCCGACUAGUGGGUGAUCUUAGUUAUGCGCGCUGAUGAUAUGAUGAGAGAAGCACUAGAGCGUAUUUUUACACCUUUCAUCGUAUAGACUACCUUACGUAGUUCCGAGUGAUGUGCAGAGUAGGGCCGUAUAGGUCACUGUGGUGACUCCGGCUUAGUGAGAUAUUGAGCUAUUGAAUUAAUCGUAUAGGACCAACUGCAGGGUCUCCGAUUGAUUCCUUAUUUCACC